rnacentral:rRNA from 1 species
AUUGAACGCUGGCGGCAUGCCUUACACAUGCAAGUCGAACGACGCCAGGGGGCAACUCCUGGCGAGUGGCGAACGGGUGAGCAAUGCAUCGGAACGUGUCCUCUUGUGGGGGAUAACCAGUCGAAAGACUGGCUAAUACCGCAUGAGAUCGCGAGAUGAAAGCGGGGGAUCCGCAAGGACCUCGCGCGAGAGGAGCGGCCGAUGUCCGAUUAGCUAGUUGGUGAGGUAACGGCUCACCAAGGCGACGAUCGGUAGCUGGUCUGAGAGGACGACCAGCCACACUGGGACUGAGACACGGCCCAGACUCCUACGGGAGGCAGCAGUGGGGAAUUUUGGACAAUGGGCGCAAGCCUGAUCCAGCCAUGCCGCGUGUGUGAAGAAGGCCUUCGGGUUGUAAAGCACUUUCGGACGGAACGAAAUCGCGCGGGUGAACAAUCCGCGUGGAUGACGGUACCGUAAGAAGAAGCACCGGCUAACUACGUGCCAGCAGCCGCAGUAACAC